rnacentral:rRNA from 1 species
AGUCAGUGGCGGACGGGUGAGUAAUGCAUCGGAACGUGUCCCGUAGUGGGGGAUAACCCGGCGAAAGCCGGACUAAUACCGCAUAUGCUCUACGGAGGAAAGCGGGGGACCUGAAAGGGCCUCGCGCUAUGGGAGCGGCCGAUGUCCGAUUAGCUUGUUGGUAGGGUAAAGGCCUACCAAGGCUACGAUCAGUAGCUGGUCUGAGAGGACGACCAGCCACACUGGAACUGAGACACGGUCCAGACUCCUACGGGAGGCAGCAGUGGGGAAUUUUGGACAAUGGGCGCAAGCCUGAUCCAGCAAUGCCGCGUGAGUGAAGAAGGCCUUCGGGUUGUAAAGCUCUUUUGUCAGGGAAGAAACGGCUGAGGUUAAUACCUUUGGCUAAUGACGGUACCUGAAGAAUAAGCACCGGCUAACUACGUGCCAGCAGCCGCGGUAAUACGUAGGGUGCAAGCGUUAAUCGGAAUUACUGGGCGUAAAGCGUGCGCAGGCGGUUUUGUAAGUUUGUCGUGAAAGCCCCGGGCUCAACCUGGGAAUUGCGAUGAAGA